CCUCAAAACUUGGAAGUCCUCCUUAACUUCCCCUGGCAGCUCUCAACCUAUCAGGCCCAACCUCACCAGAGACACUGAACGGCCGGAGUGCACGAACCUGACACCACCCGCCUCCAAAGGUCCGUCACAAAGGCCAGAAAGGUCGGUAUUUUCACGUGCCGCUGCCGUCAACGGCUGUCUCAGCAUUCAGCUUCUCUAGGAUUCUGGAGGCUUUCUCUGUGGUUGCCCGGCCGAACCCCGCCCCAGCUGAGCAGCGCGAGUUCCAGCUGAGCAGUCAGGUAACCCCAGGGGCCCAUGCUCCCAGGCUGGGGCGCGUCAGACCCGUGCGAGGCCGGCCUUCCAGCUGCAGAAUGUCGGAAGAGCGGCUCCGAAGGCAAACUUCGGAUAGCACGGGCUGCUAGGCACCUCUGAUAACUAACAGGUGCGGAGACAAAAGGGAAGAAAUCUCUCCUUUCCAGCUUGGGCGGUUGAACAACAAACAUUCGCUCAAAUUCUGGCCUUGUGGAGUUAGGAGGGUCACCAUUUGAACUGCAAAAUUGAACAAUUGCUCUUGAAGUCCUGAGCCACCAUGGAAGAAGUCUGCCAACCCUGCUUUCCAGUGACUGAGCUGCAAGAAUCCUUCAAGAUGCCGAAAAAAUGACCCCAAAGUGAGCUUUAUGUGGCUCCGAGACCACAUAAAGAAGCUCUGAGACCACAUGGAGAAGAUUAGCCCGGCUAAGCCCACUUUUCUGGCUGUCCCUGCCAAGGCACUUGGCAUGGCAGUGAAGCUGUCUUGGAUUUUCCAGACAAAUUAUACUGCCAGAUGAAUACCAGCAAGUGAUCUUAGUUGACACCACAUGAAACAGAAGAAUUUCUCAGCUGAGUCCUCCCCAAAUUCCUGGCCCAAAACAUGAUGGUGUGGUUUUUUCCACUGUUUUGGAGUAACUUUUUAUGCAGCAAUAGAUAACAAGAUCAGAUGUUUACUAGAUUGUAAUGGUUUGAUUAGACUGUUUCCUAAGAAUAUUAACUUUCCUCUGUUUCAAUGACAUAGUCAAUAUGCAAUUUUCAAUUUGUAGUUGAUAUUUAAAUUUCCAGUUAGGAAAAAGCUUGAUGUUGAGGACUUGCACUAAAUUUUAGGCCAGGUAUAGCUCCAAUUUUUAUGGAAAUUAUUAUAUACAGUAUAAGGUAAUUUUUUAUGGGCUAUAGUUAGCAAUUUCUUUUUUAUCUUUUUUAUUAUUUAUUUUUUAUUGUACUUUAAGUUCUAGGGUACAUGUGCACAACGUGCAGGUUUGUUACAUAUGUAUACAUGUGCCAUGUUGGUUUGUUGCAUCCACUAAUUCAUCACUUACACUAGGUAUUUCUCCUAAUGCUAUCCCUCCCCUAUCCCCCCACCCCACGACAGGCCCCGGUGUGUGAUGUUCCCUGUCCUGUGUCCAAAUGUUCUCGUUGUUCAAUUCUCACCUACGAGUGAGAACAUGCGGUGUUUGAUUUUCUGUCCUUGCGAUAGUUUGCUCAGAAUGAUGGUUUCCCGCUUCAUCCAUGUCGCUACAAAGGACAUGAACUCAUCCUUUUUUAUGGCUGCAUAGUAUUCCAUGGUGUAUAUGUGCCACAUUUUCUUUAUCCAGUCUAUCAUUGAUGGACAUUUGGGUUGGUUCCAAGUCUUUGCUAUUGUGAAUAGUGCUGCAAUAAACAUACGUGUGCAUGU